rnacentral:misc_RNA from 1 species
UUAAUUAUUGGCAAGAUUUUGUUCCAAUUUUUUAAAUUCGAAUU